rnacentral:lncRNA from 1 species
CGGGUCGACUACAGGUGGGCUGUGCUGGGCUGGGCUGGGCUGGGCUGGGCUGGGUCGGGGCGGCCGCCAAGGACGCAUCCCUGCGCUGCGGGCCCGGCGUGGAGCCCGCGGAGAGGCAGCGCGACUCCGGGCAGUGGGUCUUUCUGCCCCGGUGCUCGCGUCUGCCCCUGGGGCCGGGCCGAGCGGAACCAGGAAUCGCAGAAACAGUCAGCGCCCAGGGCUCUAGGCCGGCCGCCCCGAGUGCCAGGUGAAUUCCUUUCCCUGACCGGCUGUGAGACGUUGGCCGGUCAGCCGUCGUCUUUGGCCUGAGUGUGCACAUCUGUAAAAUGGAAGCUCGGACUAGUGAUCCGUGAGGACCUUCCACGUCUGACGUGUGAUCUCGAGAGACCUGCGUGCAUUCGGGGUGCCAGAAGGAAAGCAUAGAGGAUUGGUUCCAGAACCCUCGCGUAUACUACAGCCUGCAUAUACUCAUAUCACGCUGUUGACCCAG